rnacentral:rRNA from 1 species
CAGUCGAGCGGUAACUUUCUUCGGGAAGCUAGAGCGGCGCACGGGUGAGUAACGCGUACAUGACCUACCUUUAAGACUGUGAUAGCCCUGGGAAACUGGGAUUAAUAACGGAUGUGAUAAUAGGUAUAAGGAUUUAUUAUUAAAGAUGAGUCGCUUAGAGAUGGGUGUGCGUCUGAUUAGCUAGUUGGUAGGGUAACGGCCUACCAAGGCGACGAUCAGUAGGGGGCGUGAGAGCGUGACCCCCCACACGGGUACUGAGACACGGACCCGACUCCUACGGGAGGCAGCAGUAAGGAAUAUUGGUCAAUGGACGAAAGUCUGAACCAGCCAUCCCGCGUGCAGGAUGACUGCCCUAUGGGUUGUAAACUGCUUUUAGUAGAGAAGAAACGCAGUCAUUUAUGAUUGCCGGACGGUACCUACAGAAUAAGCACCGGCUAACUCCGUGCCAGCAGCCGCGGUAAUACGGAGGGUGCGAGCGUUAUCCGGAAUCACUGGGUUUAAAGGGUGCGUAGGCGGGGAAUUAAGUCAGUGGUGAAAUCUUGUCGCUUAACGAUAAAAUUGCCAUUGAUACUGAUUUUCUUGAAUUGGGUUGAGGUUAGCGGAAUGUGACAUGUAGCGGUGAAAUGCAUAGAUAUGUCAUGGAACACCAAUUGCGAAGGCAGCUAGCUGGGCCUUGAUUGACGCUGAGGCACGAAAGCGUGGGUAGCGAACAGGAUUAG